GAUGAACGCUAGCGACAGGCUUAACACAUGCAAGUCGAGGGGCAGCAUAGAAGUAGCAAUACUUUGGUGGCGACCGGCGCACGGGUGAGUAACGCGUAUGCAACCUACCUAUCAGAGGGGAAUAACCCGGCGAAAGUCGGACUAAUACCGCAUAAAACAGGGGCACCGCAUGGUGAUAUUUGUUAAAGAAAUUCGCUGAUAGAUGGGCAUGCGUUCCAUUAGGUAGUUGGUGAGGUACCGGCUCACGAAGCCGACGGUGGAUAGGGGACCUGAGAGGUUGGUCACCCAAACUGGUAAUGCGACACGGACCAGACUCCUACGGGAGGCAGCGGUGAGGAAGAUUGGUCAAUGGGCGAGAGCCUGAACCAGCCAAGUCGCGUGAAGGAAGAAGGAUCUAUGGUUCGUAAACUUCUUUUGCAGGGGAAUAAAGUGCAGGACGUGUCCUGUUUUGUAUGUACCCUGAGAAUAAGGAUCGGCUAACUCCGUGCCAGCAGCCGCUGUAA
rnacentral:rRNA from 1 species